GUUUUUAUGGUAUGGACUUACUAU
rnacentral:snRNA from 1 species